CAACUCGAUCACCUCGCCUCGUAUCCUGAAAUUCUCCGCAACUGGGCGAUUCGUCAAGUUUGGGGGAAUUUCUCUGGCAUCAACGAGAUACGAAGCUUGGAGGCCAACAUCGCACAACCCCUUUUCGUCGAUACUGAAUACACGUUCCAUAUUUUGGACAACGGGACUCAGUUCGCGUUAAUUUCCCUUUGUGAUCCCUCGCAGCAUCGUGGUGUGGCCCGCGGUAAUUACAUCCUGAAAAAGAACGAGACGUUCUCCCCCUUGGACAUCCCGUACCUGCGAACAAAGCAGCUGGAUUACGCGUGUCUAGACGCAGUGAUUCUCUACAAGCGUAUUCCAACUCCGUUGAUUUGCUAUCUCCUCCACCGCCACCAUCUGCACGACCACCACCUCUACCAACUACCCCUUCAAGAUUUUUU
ensembl:lincRNA F41F3.10 ncRNA